AACCUGCCCUCUGAGGAUUUAAAUGGCCGCGGUAUUUUGACCGUGCAAAGGUAGCAUAAUAAUUAGUUUUUUAAUUGAAAGCUGGAAUGAAAGGUUGGAUGAGAAAAUGACUGUCUCUAUUUAGAUUGAUUAGAACUUUAUUUUUAAGUAAAAAAGCUUAAAUGGAAAUAGAAGACGAGAAGACCCUAUAGAGUUUUAAAUUAGUUGGGGUGAUUGAAAAAUUUAAUAAACUUUUUUUAUAUAAGACCAUUGAUUUAUGAAUAAUUGAUCCUUUAUUAAAGAUUAAAAGAAAAAAUUACCUUAGGGAUAACAGCGUAAUUUUUUUAGAGAGUUCAAAUCGAAAAAAAAGAUUGCGACCUCGAUGUUGGAUUAAAAUUAAGUCUUGGUGUAGAAGCUAA
rnacentral:rRNA from 1 species